GUCUACGGCCAUACUGCCCUGAACGCGCCCAAUCUCGUCAGAUCUUGGAAGCAAAGCAGGGUCGGGCCUGGUUAGUACCUGGAUGGGAGACCGCCUGGGAACACCGGGUGCCAUAGGCU
rnacentral:rRNA from 1 species